rnacentral:lncRNA from 1 species
GAGAAAGGAAAGAAAGAAAAGGGAAUUUUGGGUUUUGAAAUUCCAAGCUCAAUUGGUAAGUCAAUUUAGUCUCUAUUCUUGUAAUUUUUGAGUUUUUGGAGUUCUAGAACAAAAUAUGUCAUGAUUUAAGUUGAAAUUUUGAAAGUUAGUAAAUUUUUAGAUGUUGUUCAUGUUGAAUUAAUUGAUGAAUUAGGGGUUAAAUUGAUUGAAAUUCAAGUUAGAAGUUAGUAAAUGGUUGAUUUGUAAAAUAAAACAUAAGUUUAGAAUUAAUAGAGACUAAAUUGAGAGAAUUUUAAAAUUAGGGAUUUAUGGUGAAAUUAGAGAGUUAAAUUAGUUUAAAGAGAGAAUGAAAUGAAAAUAUGAAAUUAGUUUUGAGAAUAAAAGUUAGUCUCAGUUUAGGGACUAAAUUGAAAUUUAGGCAAAUAUUGAGUAAAAAUUGAAAAAUUUAAUGUGAGAUUGAAUGGUGUUGUAUUGAUGAUUCUUAAUUGUUUUAAUUCCGUAGCUAGUGUCGUACCGGAAUUCUCGACUAAAAAGGGGAAAAAUAUAGUCGACAUCGAAUAGCUCGGAAUUCCUGGUUUGUAUUUCUAUAAUCCGGAUCUAAUUAUUAAUUGUUGUAUUUUGAUUAAAUGUUAUGGUAAGUGAUUGAGGUGAGAAUUAUUGUUUUUUUUUUUACAAUUGAAAUGGAUUGUCUAGAUAUGUGAUGAAAUUAUAUUGGUUGAAUUAAAGUCGAAUAUAUAUUAUGAAUAUAUAUGUGUAAAUGUGAAAUUGUGCAAAUAUGAUAAUUGAAUUAUUUUUUAUAUGUAUAAAAUUCAGCCUUAAUGCCCAAGUAGAUAGAAUUUAGAACUACUGGUAUAUUAGUGGCAUGCCAUUAAGGAACUUUAGCGCGCUCUCUGAUUAUUAGCACGUUGGUGCUCUCUGAUUAUUAGCACGUUGGUGCUCUCUGAUUACUAGCACGUCAGUGCUCUCUGAUUAGCACAUCUGUGCUCUCUGUAUAGCACUUCAGUGCUCUCUGUUCAUUAGUGCAUAAUAAUGCAUCUCUAUAUUUGUUCCGUAUAUCCGGUGUGUUCUAUAAAAUCUACUUUGGGCUAAGAAUAAGAAUAUGAGAUAGUGAAUUGAAAAUAGAAUGUGAAAAACGAUAGUGAAUUGAAAACAGAAUAUGAAAUAUGUUAUAAAUACAUGGAAUACACGAGUUAUAUACUCAUGAAUUGAAUGUGGAACGCUAUUAUAUAUAGCAAGUGAUGAUAAUUGAGUAUCGUAUGGUUUUAAAUGUUCAAUUGUGCUUGACAUUUUAUUAUACAUAUUUUAUUGUUUUAUUUUUAAAUAUUCGGAUUAUAGAAAUACCACUGAGUUUAUACUCAGCGUACGGUUUGUUUCCGUGCGCUGGUUAAGUACUUAAGUUCGAUCGCUGAUUCAGCAUCCAACAACGAUCCCGAACUCAAAUAUGGUGAUGUUUAUUUCUUUGUGUCGGCAUGUACCUAGAGUGUCUAAAUAUUAGUUAUUUUGUGGUUUGAUUGUAAAUGAAGUUAUAAAAUCUAUUUUUGAAAGUUUAUAAUUUGGAUUAAAAUGAUGCUUUGAUGACUUGUUUUGAUGAUAUAAAAUGUUUGAGAUUUCUGUCUGUUUGAUCUGUAGUCUCCGGUAAUGCUCCAUAACCCAGUUUUGGCGAGGGAUACGGGUUGGGGGUGUUACAGUGUGGUCCACCCAUGUGGCCUUAAUCCUACGCACAAUCUUCACUGAUUCACUUGGAAAAGAACACACACCUUUCACAAGGGGUCCAAUCGACGUUCCUCAUGCCCAAUUCUGAUUCGAUGCACCUAAAUGUGGUCCUUCAAUGAAAAAUAUACUCAAUUAACGAUUGGUGUCAACAUUGGCAAGAUUUACAAAAUAUUUGACAAGAACCGU